rnacentral:rRNA from 1 species
CAAUCGCCGCACCGUGAAGGUACCUUUCUAAAGUCAAGGCGAUUAAGUGCUAGCAGCCGCUGUAAUACGUAGUUGACAAAGAAAUAUCCAGCAUCUACUGGGGUAAAGGCGCGCGCCACGACUGCCUCUUAAUGUCUGAUGUGAAACCCCCUCGCUCUCAACCCGGGAGGGGCCCAUUGGAUAACUGUGAGCCUUGAUUUCGAAAAGACAACGCUAGCAUUUCCCACUGUUGCGGUGAAGCGGGGAGAAAACGGGGAGAAACACCAUUUGGAGACGGGCGACUCUUUGCCCUAUACUGACGUUGAGGCGAAAAAGUGUGGGCGCAAACCGGGUUAGAUACCCUGUAGUCCACGCCGUAAACGAUGAGUGAUAGGUGUUGGAGGGUCUCCGCCUCUCAGUGCUGAAGUUACCGCAUUAAGCACUCCGCGUGGGGAGUGGGUGUCGCAAGGCUGAAACUCAAAGGGAAUUGGCGGGGACCCGCCCAAGCGGUGGAGCAUGUGGUUUAAUUCGAAGCAACGCGAAGAACCUUACCAACUCUUGACAUCCCCCUCACCGCUACAGAGAUGUAUCUUCCCCUUCGGGGGCAGGGGUGACAGGUGGUGCAUGGUUGUCGUCAGCUCGUGUCGUGAGAUGUUGGGUUAAGUCCCGCAACGAGCGCAACCCUUGUCCUUAGUUGCCAGCAUUUGGUUGGGCACUCUAAGGAGACUGCCGGUGACAAACCGGAGGAAGGUGGGGAUGACGUCAAAUCAUCAUGCCCCUUAUGAGUUGGGCUACACACGUGCUACAAUGGACGGUACAAAGGGCAGCGAAGCCGCGAGGUGGAGCCAAUCCCAGAAAGCCGUUCUCAGUUCGGAUUGCAGGCUGCAACUCGCCUGCAUGAAGUCGGAAUCGCUAGUAAUCGCAGGUCAGCAUACUGCGGUGAAUACGUUCCCGGGUCUUGUACACACCGCCCGUCACACCACGAGAGUUAGCAGACACCUCAUGGUUCAGGAUAAGUCGUAACAAGGGAACCACGCAUUGGUGUACG